rnacentral:rRNA from 1 species
CGGAGGAUCCAAGCGUUAUCCGGAUUCAUUGGGUUUAAAGGGUGCGUAGGCGGAAUGAUAAGUCAGUGGUGAAAAGCCUGCAGCUUAACUGCAGAACUGCCAUUGAUACUGUCAAUCUUGAGUACAUUUGAUGUGGGCGGAAUGUGUCAUGUAGCGGUGAAAUGCUUAGAUAUGACACAGAACACCGAUUGCGAAGGCAGCUCACAAAACUGUAACUGACGCUGAGGCACGAAAGCGUGGGUACCAAACAGGAUUAGAUACCCUGGUAGUCCACGCUGUAAACUAUGAUUACUCGAUGUUUGCGAUAUACUGUAAGCGUCUAAGCGAAAGCGAUAAGUAAUCCACCUGGGGAGUACGCUCGCAAGAGUG